CCGGCCACUUCCGCCCCUGGCCGAGGAAGGCCCAAGCUGCGCCACAGGAGCUGGUCCGUCCGUCCGCCCCGCGCCCAGGCCUGGCAGCCCGUGCUCUGGCGGACCCCGACGCGCACAUGGACGCACGGACCUCCGAGGGUCCCCACGGGGACCCGCUGCGGGACGCGGUGAGUGGUCCCGGCGGCCCGGACUAAGCAGCCAGAACCUGUGCCUCUAGGACGCCCCCGCCCCUUCCUGGAACCCGUGAAAGUCCUGCCCCACCGCUGGAGCCGGGCUGGUUUUUAGAGCCCCGCCCCAGGAGGGGUGACUUUGGACCCUCUGAGUCUUCCGCGUCCCGCCUGCUCUCCUAUUUGCCAAAACAGGUUCCAAGCCUGGAAGAGGCAGAUAGGUUUACCCUGUUAAAAAGAAUUUACUACAUGAACAGACUGCAUUUUCCUGACCAAGGUGGACGCCCCUGAUUGAAGGAGGCAACUAGAGAUAAGGAUGGCAGCUCCGCAGUGAGAAGGCAGACUAGGAGUGCUGGUCCAGUGCUUCCACCGCCAACAAAUACAGGGGUGAGAGGUCUCAGGUCAUAAAUUAUUUAACGUGCAAACUAGAAAAAGCAGCGCAGAAACGUGAAACGCUAGCUGUAACGAUAUUCUGCGCAACCUGGCUGAUAAUACCAACUACAACACCAACGCCACCAGCUGGUGAACACCCGUAGUAAGGAGGAUACAUGAGCUGUGAAUGGCUUCGCCUCCUUGGGGAGCUCUUGAGAGUGACUGAGGCUGCUCCCUGUGCUCCUCCCUAGACUUACAUUUCAGCUCUCAGACGGUAGGUGUGUGCUCAUUGCGAGUUAACUGCGUAGUGUACAGAUGCAGUUUUGCACAGUCAUCUCUUUCUGGUGCUUGGCACCUUUGUCAAAAGCCACUGGAGCCCACGUAUGCAGCAUCUAAACGUUUUGUAUUUUCUUUUUAUUUCUCUGUAGAGCCAAACAAAUGAAAAAUAAAUCUAUUCAAAGAUGCAGGGGAAAAAAACACUGGAGCAUGUAUGAUGGAUUACUUCAUUAAUAAUAAAUGUUGAGUACUUUGUGGUUCCAUUUUCCAGGCAGAACAUCUACUUCAGGAACUUCAAGAACAUUUUCAAGCUCUCACUGCAGCCUUAAACCUGAGAAAUAUCCUCUUCUGUCUUUGGUAAACACUAAUGCUUUUGGACAGGCACAUCUCCAUUGUCUUCUGCUGUGGACAAAUAGUUGUUUAUUUGGAUUCUCCAGUAUUUACACUUGCCCUUCUAAGGGGCUUUUCCUGUGCUGUCAAUGCCAGAGGUCUGUGGCAAGUGUGAAGUUCAAGGGCACCACUCUGCUCCUGACCACCUGGACAACCUGGUCUGCAACAGUUAGAGGACGGUGCUCAAGUCCAAUAGGAGGCUAGACACUGCUGUGCCUUUGCUUUGUUUUGACUUCCCCGGCUCACUCUUUUAUUUCAGAAACACAAAUGUUACAAAAUUAACACAGAAUGUUUCCAAUGAGUAAGUUCAGGUAAGGGCAAAAAGUGCAUUAAAACUUGCCCAAUUUGAGCUCACUUUAUUCAACUAAGUGCAUUCCUUAAACAUUGUGCAAAGUAUUUACAUUUGGAAGUGCUUACCUGCAGCUUUUGAUUUUACCAACAAGGUAAAACAUGAUAACACGAUAAAUUAAACCAUAGAGUUGUUUUAAAAGUUAAAUUUCCAUUAUAUUAUGCUCAGAGUUUGGCAGGUUUAAAAGCCAAGUUUCUCACUUCAAGGUUCAAGAUACACACUAAAAGGGACUCAGGAGGCAGCAAAUUUGCAUUGACCCUUCAUUUUACAAGUUCCUCUCUGUGGAGAAGGUAUGGCCUUGAGGGCGUGUCUGUGGUCACUCUGCACCCCAGACCUACAUGUGCAGUUUUCCUUGACGUGGCACUGGAAGACAUGGGGAAUCGCAUAGAGGACUUACAGAAGAAUGUGAAUGUCCUAAUGGAGCAGGCUGGGGUUGGAAAUUCCACUGAAGAGCAAACAGUAAGUUCAUCAUUAGGCAACUGUUUGCCUUUUGCAUAUCUUUUAAUUGCUUUCAUCUUGAAAAAUACAAUCCCAUAUUUGUUCACUGUGCAAAUACUGUUGCUGUAUUACUGAAAAACCAUUAGAAACAACACAUUUCCAAAUGCUCUAAUCCAGUUAUACCAACUGAAACACUCUUUUCCAUAAUUCCUUAAAAGUGCACAUUUUAGAUGAAAAAUUCCUAUUUCAAAGUUGGAUUUUAUUAGGGUACUUUUCAUCCCUACUCCUUAAAUUAGUCUUCAGCUAGAACACAAAUCACAGUGAACUAGAGACUGGGAUUAUAACUAGUAGUUCCUGUUUAGAUAACUUAUCCAUGUCACACACUGAAGUCCUAUGCACAGAAAGUCCUUAACACAUUUCCUGAGUGGCCCACCAGGGCCUGGAUCACCCCACAAUGGGAACUUUCCCAUGCUAAUGCAGUCUUGAGGAUGCAAACAGAUUCCUAGCUCCAGGUCUGAGACCUGGAGUGUAGCUUUAUUAAGGUAAGUAUGCAUAUUAUCAUGACAGUACUCCAACUAUGACCAUCUUUUCAUUGAACAAUUUAAAGGCCUUGGUUUACUCACAAUUGCUAUCCUAAGUCGGAUAUCAAAUUAUCCCUUCUUGUCCUGCUAAAUUAUAGUUGCCUCUGUCAGUGACAUUAAUUGCAGUGAGUUAUUCUAAGCAGAGUCCACACUGAUGCCAUUGGACUAAAAAGGCCCUUGUAUCAUUUGUUUUUCUGAGUGCUAAAUUUUGCCUACAUAACAAUGUUGUAAUAAUUAUAAGAAAUUAGGGUACUUUAUUAAAAACUGUAUUCAGAUGUAUUUACCUGUAAACUGGAAUCCACAUCACCUAACUGCUUUCAAAUUUUUUCUUACAGACCUGAAGAUGUUAUUGGACAAGUCCCGUGAAACUAAUACAAUGAACACUUUGAAGGAGUAAUCAUCUAUGUAAUAUGGAUUCUGAUUCUCAGUACUUAAUUUUAAGAUUAUUUAUUUUUUUUGGGGGGGGUCCUGGGAAUGGAACUCAGGGCCUCAGCAUGCUAGGCCCUGAGUUGCACCUCCAGUCUAUCAGAAUUCUUUUUUUUCCCUUUUAGUUUUAAUUGGAUGCAAUACCUUUAUUUUAUUUAUUUU
rnacentral:lncRNA from 1 species